rnacentral:rRNA from 1 species
GACAGAGGCCACGAACGUUGUUCGGAAUUACUGGGCAUAAAGCGCACGUAGGCGGCUAGGUCCGUCCGAUGUGAAAUACCCCGCGUCACCGGGAACGUGCAUCGGAGUACAGCCUCGGCGUUGUAGGAGUGGUUUGGGGGUUGGAGUGGAACGUACCUCGGUGGAGCGGUGAAAUAGCGUAGAUAUCAGGAGGAACACCGGUGGCGAAAGACGG